rnacentral:rRNA from 1 species
UAGCGACAGGCUAACACAUAGCAAGUCAGGGGCAGCACAAGGAGCAAUCUGAGGUGGCGACCGGCGCACGGGUGAGUAACACGUAUGCAACCUGCCUGUAAGCGGGGAAUAACCCGUUGAAAGACGGACUAAUACCGCAUAAUACUAAAUUACUGCAUGGUAAUUUAUUUAAACAUUUAUGGCUUACAGAUGGGCAUGCGCAUGAUUAGCUAGUUGGAGAGGUAACGGCUCCCCAAGGCAACGAUCAUUAGGGGUUCUGAGAGGAAGGUCCCCCCACACUGGUACUGAGACACGGACCAGACUCCUACGGGAGGCAGCAGUGAGGAAUAUUGGUCAAUGGACGAGAGUCUGAACCAGCCAAGUCGCGUGCAGGAAGAAUUGUCCUAUGGAUUGUAAACUGCUUUUGCAGGGGAAUAAAGUGCAUCACGUGUGAUGUUUUGUAUGUACUCUGCGAAUAAGGAUCGGCUAACUCCGUGCCAGCCGCCGC